UGCCAUCCAAGCUGUUGGAUAUGUUGUCAUGAGUUCAGAGUUGUUUGACAAAGCACUUGCAGUGUUACCCGUAGCAAAUUUUGGGUCAUGCCUUGACAAAGCACUUGCAGUGUUACCCGUAGCAAAUUUUUUGUCAUGCCUAUGCCUAUCAUGGAUGUAAUUUCCUUUGCCAUUUGUGUUAAAGGCUUGGAAAUGCUAAUCCAGGUAUGUGCUAGUUUACGGUAGAUUGGUAUAUCGGCAGAAUGGGAAUGGCGCUUGUGCCAGUCCAAGUAUCGGGGAGAUGCAUCGCAUCUGUAUGGACUUGCUUUCAAAUUAGUAUAUCUAGAUGCAAUAACAAACGUUACAUUGAG
rnacentral:lncRNA from 1 species